CUCUGACCUCAAAUCAGGUAGGACUACCCGCUGAACUUAAGCAUAUCAAUAAGCGGAGGAAAAGAAACUAACAAGGAUUCCCUUAGUAGCGGCGAGCGAAGCGGGAUGAGCUCAAAUUUGAAAUCUGGCGUCUUUCAGGCGUCCGAGUUGUAAUCUAUAGAAGCGUUUUCUGUGCUGGACCGUGUCCAAGUCCCUUGGAACAGGGUAUCAAAGAGGGUGACAAUCCCGUACUUGACACGACCACCAGUGCUCUGUGAUACGUUUUCUACGAGUCGAGUUGUUUGGGAAUGCAGCUCAAAAUGGGUGGUAAAUUCCAUCUAAAGCUAAAUAUUGGCGAGAGACCGAUAGCGAACAAGUACCGUGAGGGAAAGAUGAAAAGCACUUUGGAAAGAGAGUUAAACAGUACGUGAAAUUGUUGAAAGGGAAACGAUUGAAGUCAGUCGUGUCUAUUGGUUUCAGCCGGUUCUGCCGGUGUAUUACCUUUAGACGGGUCAACAUCAGUUUUGGACGGCGGAUAAUAGCAGUUUGAAUGUAUCACCUCCGGGUGUGUUAUAGCUUUCUGUUGCAUACGCUGUCCGAGACUGAGGACUGCAGCUUGCCGCAAGGCCGGGGUUUCGACCCACGUACGAGCUAGG
rnacentral:rRNA from 1 species